CAAAUAUUCCAGCUCCCUAAGCACUUCCCAUUUGACCAAACUUAACCUAAUUUUACCAAUGUAAACUUUUAGUCUGUGAAGAUUUCUGGGCACUGAACAGAACAACUCUGCUAGAGGCCAUGCGUUUCCCAGAGCACAGCUUUGAGCACCAGACAGCUACUUAGACAUGGGUCUACACAGAUCUGGAAAGUCGAUGCCUUUUGCACCACCUCUUUUAAUGCAUGUUACUUUACUAGUGAGACAGCACUUCAAUCCCUUCAUGCCCUCUGAACACCACUUCGGGGAUCAUUUGGAAGAUGGAAAGUAGCUCUACACCACAUGCAAGACGGAUACUUCUCCACUCUGAGCAGCACUGCACUGCGAAUAUUAUCAACUUCAAAAAAACUCGUGCAAAAUCCACUGCGUAAACUUCAGACACAUUUGAUUUCAUUUUGGUCUCAGGCCCAGACCCUUCAAGUUAAUGAAAAUACUCAGAUUGUGGUCAAUUUCCAUCUACUGAGGCUUCUGCUCCUACCCUGGGAGGGAAGUACAGCGUGCAUAAGAGCAGCAUCUGUCCUUUGCAUGCCUCUUAUCCACAGACAUACACAGUUGGCUAAAAUGCAGUAUGGAGCUAUGGAAAUGAAGGCCUGGUAACAUACUAUCUCACAGUGACUUUUGAAAUAAAAAUAUAACUAUACAGGGCAUGUCAACCUAUGUAAACCUGCACUGUCUUAAAUAAAAUAAAAUGAGCAAAUGACUAUUGAGUGCUGGUGAAGCAAGAUACUCUGUUAUUAUUUCUUAUUCUUCCUACUUACAUGGAUUAAGGAUGAAUGGAACAUGUCAUAAUAAAACUGAGAGGAGUUAUUUAAGUGUAAUUAUGAGACUGACCAUAGUUAUACCUCAAGUGACAGCUUUAUUAACUCCUUAUAUUUUGGAAAAUUGCCAUUCCAGUUAAAAAGUUAGGUUUUCCUUCAGUUUAAAAAUGAAUUUACUUAUGACAGGCUCAGUAGAAUUUUUGGGAGACUUUUUCAAGCUGUAAGACUGAGAAUUGCCUUUUUCUCCCUUCAUAUUUUCCAUAGGCUCCCCUCCUUCCACAUGCAAUCAGCUGAUUAAAAAUUGACAUUUUCAGUACUUUAGUUUCACAAUGGACUUAGGCCCCAAUCAUCUAUAUGCGACUCUGCAAGGACUUCUGAGGUACAGUACGUUAAAUGGGAUCGCACAACCUCCCAGGCACCAAUAAAAAUCUUAAUAAAAGGCUUAUAAGCUGUUUAAAUUGAACAUAAGACUGUGCCUCAACCUUCUAUUCCAAGGGAGUCAGCUUGAGUAUACUUUGAUCAAGAUUUCCAAGAGCAGAGAAACAACACAGGCUAAACCGGGAGACAUUCUGUGGUCAGAGAUACAAAGAAGCUUCGAUAAUCUUGUGCUCUGUUAUGGUCCUAAAAUCUAAGAACACUUUCCCCUUAUUUUACUGUUAAAAACAAUCCCAACAUAUUCUGGAGUAUUCUUAAUCUUUUCCAUUUUUUUUUUCAAGAACAUAAGCUUUUCUUUAUAGACGACAAGACAUUUUUUCAAAACAUAUUCAGACAUAUUAAAAUUGUAUUUCUCUCAUAAUUUCUUCAUUAUAUUAUUACUGCAAAUUACAUUAACCAAACCAACAAUUUUCAAGGAUUUUUAAAAAAAAGUCAUAUUUAAAUAAUUCCCUGCUGGUGCCAGUAUGUUAACUAUUAGGCUGUUAUUAACUGAUUUGGUAUCCUACUUGUUUCUACAGUAUCAAUCUAGUGCAACCACAAAAAGGUAGAUGCAUUACACAGAGUAUUUCACUCAUGAAUCUUUUUAAACUACUGUUUAUGCUUUUUUAAAAUUCUGUAUUAAAAUGCUGAACUAUAAGGGAACUAUAAAGUAUGAAGGAAAAAAUAAUACAAUGCAACAAUGGCACUGCAUUGUUACUUAUCAAAAGUCCCACUACACAUGCUUUGUUAGUGAAAUUUAUUAACAAUAAAUAUGUAUAAUACUUAAAGCACAAAAAAUAAUAUUUUAUCUUUAAAGAAAUUGAUGAUGAGACACGAAAGCUAAAUAAUGAAAUGUAAAUUCUUCAAAGAAAUUAUAGUGGAUGUUUGCAGCAUUGCUGUACUCAUUUUUUUAAAAUGUGAAGAACUGCAAAGAAAUAAAGCCCUGAUGUUUGCUCUUUAAAGUGUCUGCCAUUCUCUUCUCCCUUUUAUUCUGUCCUGUACUAUUUUCUUACGAGAUUCGUCCUACAGAGCAAACUCCUCCUUAAGUUUACAAAAAUUAAGUCAAAAGAACAAGUCACACCUUAAGUUAAGCACUUAUGUAUCUGAUGAACUGGAACAUAGAAACAUGAUCUGCAAAGGUUUACAUGUAUGCUUAACUUUCUACAAUACACACAGUCCUACAGCUGGACUGCUCACAGCAUGUGUCAAGUUAACAUGCACGAAGACGAUCACUGAAAUCUGGCUGUAUCAA